UACGGAGGGGGCUAGCGUUGUUCGGAAUUACUGGGCGUAAAGCGCGCGUAGGCGGACCUGCAAGUCGGGGGGUGAAAGCCCGAGGCUCAACCUCGGAACUGCCUUCGAUACUGCGGGUCUCGAGUCCGGGAGAGGUGAGUGGAAUUCCUAGUGUAGAGGUGAAAUUCGUAGAUAUUAGGAAGAACACCCGUGGCGAAGGCGGCUCCACUGGCCCGAUACUG
rnacentral:rRNA from 1 species